rnacentral:lncRNA from 1 species
GAUUGGAGGUGGGGAUGUGGACGGGAAUGGAUGUGAUCCACAUCAGACGCAUCCUACCUUAGGAGGCCACAGCCAGGACUUUUCUGGCUAAGCUGCCCCAUGAGACCAGCGACAGUACAGCUGCCUUUUUCUUCCACCUGGAUACACCUUUGAACAUUUUCUUUCCCAAUCACAGACUGGCUGCCACUUCCCAACAGCUCUAUUGCAGAGAAUCCCACAUGUGUUCUGCAGAGGAGAGAAUUUGCACAUACAGAGGGAGCUGGUUGUGGACUAGGAGGAAGAUGUCACACUAAAGAUGGGUUUUGGUGAUGAUGUAGCUGCUGUUGAUGCAGCAUCGAGCUCUCACUUUGUGUCUCUGUCAACUAUGAUCCGUAACCACAAAGUGAGUGACAGGCCAAUCCCCGGGGAGCCAGGGGGCCUGAGAAGCAAAGGCUCUUUUCAGAGGAGGAGAGGAAGACUGACCGUCUCGAAGACAGCGCUGGGAGCUGCCCCAUCCACUCCAAUGCUAGUCACUGGCCGUUAGACAUGGCGUUCAAAGACUAGCGGUGCAAGUAUGGAAAUGGAGAAAAGGCAUUGUUGUCGAAACAUGCCGGGAAUUGUUCAAGGCUUUCCCUUGCAUAAUGUUUGGAUGCUUUUGCAAAUGUUUCAAUCUCAGAACCCAUGAAUUUGAUCCUCCAUAAAUCAGACUGAAGGUUUGCAGGGGAAGGGGUUAUUGUGCAAUGCAAAUUACUUCUGUGUGAUUGAAUUUGUGAAUAUUUCAUGCAUUUAUCUUUUAUGGACAGCACGUAAUGAAUUUGUUUCAUGGAGAGCAAAAGUCCAGCACUGAUGAAGGCUUACAUGUCCUUCUGCUGCCAGAACUCACUUGGUUCUCCUAAGAGCAACACAAAGAGAGCAGAGUCUUGUUUGCGUAUAAUCUUCAAGGUUUAUUUACUCUUCUUUUGCAGUUUUCAGGAGUCAGUUAAUUACACAAUUAAUACAUGAUACAAAUUAUUUACAUUUUUACCAAAGAAUACUCCAAACAUAAAAUAAAAAAUAGCAUUGUAUUCUACAACUCUGUGUUGUCAUUUUAUUUAAACAUGUUCAUAUAUAGAUAGAUAUACGCUGAUGAGUAAAUUCAUAAUGUCGUACCAGCAGUUUUCAUAAAGGCAUUAAACUUGAGUAGUCUGCAUUUGAAGUAAUACUGCUUCUCUGAUUCGGCACAGUUCUGUUUCAUAUAAGGUUCCCACUUGAACUUUAAGGCAAAGUGUGUUUUCGGUUUGGUGGAUUUUAAUUCACACACACUUUUUGCAGAUAUACAACGAAAGAAAAUUUAAAGAAAAAGACAAUUUGAAAGGCAAAAAAGUCCACAAUUUGGUAUGGAUACAGUCUGAAACUUAGCUCAAUCAUACUUUUGUCAAGAAAGGACCAAAGUCUAUAAACACAGUUAUUUUCCCAAGUAGAACAAAUUGCAGCUUCCAUGCAAAGGCCCCAUAAACAAAUGUUCAUUCACGAAAAAAAAAGAGAGUAAGAACAAAAAACAAAGAGUAGUUAUUGCAAGAUAAACAAGCAGUGUAAACACCUCAGAUAUCUACUCUAAAGCAACACUGGUCAUUGGAUAGAUUUUUUUUCCUCAAUAUAAUCUAUAUAAAUACACAUAUGAAGUCCUUUCAACAACAAUAAGCGAUUUCCAACAUUUGUAAUACAGUCACUGACAGAUUUGCCUACUUUGUAUGAUAAAUGGAUAUGUCAUAAAAAAGUUUCAUCUUGGAUUUCCUCCAAUAAAAAAAAACAUCCAAUAACCAGCAUUCAUCGUCAAGAGUGCGAAAAUGGUAUUAAUCAUUGUCUUCAUGCUACAGUGUUGUUUCUGUGACUGAAAAGCCAGCAUUACAGUCUUUAUCUCGCUACAAAAUGAAUUAUAUAUUGCUAUUUCAAACUAUAAUAACUGCGCAGACACAUUGGUAUGAUGAUGGGGAGAUGCACAGCUUUCAAUAAAGACUAUGAAUCAAAAGCAAGGCCUAACUUAGUGGUAUGGUUAAGUGGCGUGUUAGAAAAACAAUCUAUUUCAGUUUCUUUGAAAAAAAAAUUAACUUUUGUGUAUUUUUUUUUAAAAACUGUGUAAAAAGAUCUACAAAAAGCCCAAUUAGCAGUGUUUGACACAAGUAUCUCCUUAAGUCCAUUUAUUUUUUACACCAAAUACGAUAAAGGAAACCAAUAGAAUUGGCAUUAAAGUGGAGUUUACACUUCUUAAAAUUCACAGUAGCCUGGGUGCAGCAGAAAAAUCGUCUUUGGACUUCAGUCUUUUUCACUUCAUUGGCAGAUCGAGGGCCAGUCCUCAAAAUAAUAACAAUCGCAUUGGAUAUUUAAAAAAAAAAAAAAGGGGGGGGGGGGGGGGUUUGAGCGUGUGUUCCUCUUGAAAGGGGCGGGGACAACAAAGAAUGAAAACAUACUUUUUAUACAACAUCUUUUAUAGACGUGAUAUUGCAGAAAUAUGUCUCUGUUAUUCUUUAAAACAAUUUAUGCUGGUAUAUUCUAUACACUGGCCCUUUAUUUUUAACAUUUUAUUGCAUUGUAGACUUGAUUAAGCCUCCCAUAGAACGAAAAAGCACUAUAAUAUUCCCAUAGGAAGCUAUGGUUUCCUUAAAAACCCAAGGAUUCUUGUGACCUUUUGCACUGGACUCAUCCGUAAUGACUGAUAAGUAGUAUUUUUAUGUGCUGUGACAUUAAAUAUUCCUGUAUUUUUGUGAUAUCUCUAUAAAAAUCUAUCAUAGGA